CGUCUCCAACCCGAAGGAGCGUCCGAGCUAAAACCUUUCAAGAUUUUCAGAAAAUCUGGCGACCCAGAGCCACCUACCUAGCGACCUAGAGCCACCAAACCAACCUGACUCGCUGGUGGUGCACCCAUCACAACUUCAACCCCUUUGCCUAUCCCAUCGAUUCCAGCAGCUCCGACGGUGACUUCUUCUCUGAUGCCGCCUCCGAUUCUGACUAUGACGUCAUCUGCUUCGUCAACGAUCUCUUCGACCGACGCGCCUCUUCUGAUCAUCCCCUAGCGACUGCGUCCUCGUGUCGGGUUCCGAUCCGUUCAUGACUGAACUGGAGAUCGAAGGUGACGACGGCGAUGAUCUCGGGUC
rnacentral:lncRNA from 1 species